rnacentral:tRNA from 12 species
GGCGCUGGUGGUGGCACACCCAGCAUUGCUGGGCCAGGGUUCAAGUCCCUGCGGCGUC